GUCUGGCUCCUGGCUCCUGGUCCAAGCUCUGUCAUGAACUUGCAGGGUUUCCUUGGGCUGGCCCCAUUUCCCUGUCAUAUUUGACCAAGUUGGACCCAGCCGGUCAAUUGCACACUUGAACAAAAUGCUUUAUUUGAGCAGCAGAACCCUGACUUCAAAGGAGAGUUUACCAAGAACCCGAGUACAGAGACUGAAGAAGCAAAGCUCAUGAGGUUGAGAGUCACUUUGCGGGAUGGAUUCGGGCAUUAGUACAAGGGGAACUCACAGUCUGGGGAGAGAUGGGCUUGUAGACAUCAGACAGUAACCCAGGGCCAAAGGGGGAGGAGAUGGUGAAAGGGACGAAGAUGCCCCAACCUGGAACAAGUCAGUCAUUUUAAAAUCUCAUUGUUGAACCUGACAUAAUUCAGAACCCGUAUCUGGCUAAUGCAUCAGUUCAUUAGAACACAAAAUACACUAUCAAACAGACAAUCAAAUUUCAUAUAAAAUAAGCUUCGGCAU